GAUUUUCAGUGAUUUUCCGAGUGAUUUCACAGCGAUUGUUUUAUAGAGAUAUUCAGCGAUAUUCCAUCUGAUUUUUGGCGUUUGGAGAAAACAUCUUCCUUUGACGUCAGCUGAUCUCUCUUUAUAACCCAACAGCUCUUUUAAGAGCUAAAAACUUGGACGCAAUGCUAUUCUGCGCCCCCUGGAGGAAGGUAAAGCAACUGCUACUAUUUUAUCUGAAUUUAGGGUUUUGCUGUAUAGAGAACAGAUACAGAUAAAGUAUAGAAUGUAAUAGACUCUUUCUCUUCUCCUUCAGCCACAGGCAGAAUCCAGUACCCUCUCUGAGAUUUAUAAGGUGAGUAGAAAGGAGGGUAAAACACUCGCCACUACUGCUGGAAGUGAGACAUGUUUUGUAACCUGGGGAAUGUUAUGUUAUCAAUAAAAUCCUUCUUUUUUCUAUUUUAUUUUCCAGCCUCCUAAUGGUCGGCUGACCAAGGAUGUGCUUCUUGGAGGGGGCGGCACCGGAGACGUCUACAAGGUAAGGGACCAACCAAUUCCUGGAGAGUAGGGGAACUGAACAAGAUUGUGAUCACUACACACAAUCACACAAUGAUUUAGGCAGACAUAUCAAGCUUCUGGUUUGGGGGCUGCAUUAGACCCUCUCUUUCCUACUUGUAUAUAAGUCAACCUUUCUGUCUGUAUUACAGGGUCGUCACCAUCGUAGAGGAGUGGUAGCGGUGAAGAUCGCCAACAUCAGCCGAGAUGAAGAGUCAGUCUGCAGGGAGCUGAAGUUUCUCCAGCAGUUCGGCGGCCACAAGAACAUCGCCUCUUACUAUGGAGCCUACUACAGGACUCCACUCACGGAGUGCUCAUCGGAGCUCUUGGAAAUUGUUCUUGAAUACUGUGGUGGCGGUUCUCUCCACAACCUCAUCAGCAAGACCAAUGGCCAAUCCCUGAAGGAGACCUGGAUUGGCUAUGUCUGCAAGGAGGUUUUAAAGGGGCUGCACCACAUCCACAAGAACCAGGCCGUUCAUAGAGACAUCAAGAGCCUGAACAUCAUGCUCACAGAGACGGCCAAAGUCAAGAUCAUCGACUUUGGAAACAGCUGGGACCUGGACCCACAGACUGGAUUGUGCCAUGAAGCAGACGGGACUGCACACUGGAUGGCACCCGAGGCCAUAAGGUAGAAGGGCCAGCGCCUGGCAUACGACACCAAAGUAUGUUGUACUUAUAAUACUUGUAACAACACGGAGCAUUUACUUAUCAGUGUUAAUGGGACAUAGAAGCAGUCAUUUUCUCGUGGAGAGAAAGGAGUUUUUCCGAAAAGUUGGGUUUCUUAUCUUUUUGCACAAUGUGUCUGCUUUAAUAUAUUUGCUCAUUUCCAUUGUGACACUGGUGUUAUGUACUGUAACUGCUAUUGUUUGUAAUGGUGAUGUAUUGCUGUAUACACAUUUAUAUAUAAUAAAGUUUUUUUUAACUUUUACAUAUACCAUGAUGUGUUCAUUUACUUGGGUGUGCAUUGGGCUAUUUUAGAAUUUAGUAUUUUGUUCUGUUUUGGCCAUAAUUGAGCUAAGGAGAAUGGCGUGUACUUUUGCAGCCAUGAUAAUAUUUGUAUAUGUUUCUAAAAGAGAAUUGUAUAAGUGUACCCUUUUUACUAAAAUUUUAUUAAAUGCCCACUAACCCAAUUCUCUCCUUCUGAUGCUCUUGUGUGUCUUUUGCAGUGUGACAUCUGGUCGCUCGGGAUAACCGCCAUCGAAAUGGCCGAGGGAAAACCACCUUACGCAGAUCAAUACCCGGUGGAACACCUGAUAAGAGAAGCUCAACCACCGAAGCUUCAAUCAAACAGAUGGUCACAACAUUUUGUGUCCUUCUUGGAGAUGUGUCUGAAGAAGGAUCCUUUGGAGAGAGGGAGUGCUGAAGAACUCCUGCAGCACCCAUUCAUCAGCCAACUGCCACCUAAGAAAAUCAUCAGGGCUGAGUUGGAAGAACAUCUCCUGACUCUGCAAAACUGUCCGGCCAAGAAAGGACUGAAGGGAGUAGCUCUCUGGACCCUGAGACAGCUGCGGUGUGCUUGCACACAGACAUCGGCAGAACAAGAAGCAGCUCUGCAAAUGGCCCUGGAGGGCUUCUCCUGUUAUUAAUCUUGUGGCCAAUAACAUCAACAGCCCAGAAUGAGUUUCCUUAAUCACAGCAGAGGAAAAAGAAGCAUCCACAAGAUCCAGUGGCGUCUGCAGCUCCACCAACAACAUCUCCUUUCAAGCUGAUGCAGUUCAGCAAGUGGUAUCUUCAAGAUUCCUGCAACUACACCAGCAGGGACUUUCUCUCCUUCUUUAGCUCCAUGAACAUUCUUUUAAGAGUACCACAUCUCCACCAGUUCUUUAGUUUAGUUUGCUCCACCCACACACAUCUACACCUCACUUUCCAACUGCCAUAGUUUCAUCCAUCUUCCUUUUUUUGCAGACUACCAUAACUCCAACAUCUUGCCUUAAGCAUCUACAUUUCACAGAACCAUAGCUCCGACAUUCACAUCCACCUCUACAGUUCCACUAGCAGCAUUCACAUUUUCAUACCAUAGCUUCACUAUUAGGACCUUAGUUUUCAUUAGUAUCCAAUUACCACAUCUCUACCCAAGGACUUUUCAUUUAACUUUAGCUCCACCACCAGCCCUUAUCCCAUAUUUUACCUCUACCCGCAAGCUCUGUCCUUGUGCUAACACACCUCCACCAAUAUCUUCUUUUAUUUACAUAUCAUCAAGAGUUUCUCCUCUUUAAAAUAUCUUUUAAUCCCUGCCCUUCUUCUUGCACCUCCAUUGGUUCUUCCAUUCCACCAAUACCAAGAUAUUUAGUCACCACCACACACUAAAAUGAUGCCCCCUACACAGAUGCUUCUUUUCUCUACUUUUUUCUAUUGCCCCCCCCCUGCAAUCUCCUAACACCAAUUCCUCUGUGGUUUCUCCUGUUCAAAUUCUUUCCUUUCUAAAUUCUAUCCUUUCAAGCCUUCCACUCAACAACCAGUCACAUCUCCUAGUCUAAACCCUGACAUAAACUCUUAGUACUGAUACUGAAAUAAACUCAUAGUAAAAGUUGAUCCAGGGACUUGUCCGAUUGCCCUUUGGGAGUCAGGAAGGAAUUUUUCCUCCUCUGAGGCAAAUUGGCUCUGGCUUCAGAUGGGGUUUUUGCCUUCCUCUGGAUCAACUACUAAAUAGGAAGAUCCCAUUUAAACUACAACUUGAACCUAAUGGAUGUGAGUCCUUCCCAACUUAAAUUAGUAUGAAUUAAUCUAAAAUGCAUAAAUAUAACAUCCAAUUUAUAAAUAAAUAUGUUAAUACA